UCCCUGGUGGCUCAGACAGUAAAGCAUCUGCCUACAAUGCAGGAGACCCGGGUUCAACUCCUGGGUCGGGAA
rfam:Ovis aries breed Texel chromosome 12, whole genome shotgun sequence.